AAUAGAUACCCCGGUAGUCCACGCCGUAAACGAUGGAUACUAGCUGUUCGGUCGCAAGAUUGAGUGGCUAAGCGAAAGUGAUAAGUAUCCCACCUGGGGAGUACGAACGCAAGUUUGAAACUCAAAGGAAUUGACGGGGGCCCGCACAAGCGGUGGAGCAUGUGGUUUAAUUCGAUGAUACGCGAGGAACCUUACCAAGGCUUAAAUGUAUAUUGACAGGACUGGAAACAGUUUUUUCUUCGGACAAUUUACAAGGUGCUGCACGGUUGUCGUCAGCUCGUGCCGUGAGGUGUCAGGUUAAGUCCUAUAACGAGCGCAACCCCUGUUGUUAGUUGCCAGCGAGUCAAGUCGGGAACUCUAACAAGACUGCCAGUGUAAACUGUGAGGAAGGUGGGGAUGACGUCAAAUCAUCACGGCCCUUACGCCUUGGGCUACACACGUGCUACAAUGGCCGGUACAGAGAGCAGCCACUGCGCGAGCAGGAGCGAAUCUAUAAAACCGGUCACAGUUCGGAUCGGAGUCUGCAACUCGACUCC
rnacentral:rRNA from 1 species